rnacentral:rRNA from 1 species
CCUACGGGUGGCAGCAGUGGGGGAUAUUGCACAAUGGGGGGAACCCUGAUGCAGCGACGCCGCGUGGGUGAAGAAGCGCCUCGGCGCGUAAAGCCCUGUCAGCAGGGAAGAAAAUGACGGUACCUGAAGAAGAAGCCCCGGCUAACUACGUGCCAGCAGCCGCGGUAAUACGUAGGGGGCAAGCGUUAUCCGGAUUUAUUGGGUUUAAAGGGUGCGUAGGCGGGCUGUUAAGUCAGCGGUCAAAUGUCGGGGCUCAACCCCGGCCUGCCGUUGAAACUGGCGGCCUAGAGUGGGCGAGAAGUAUGCGGAAUGCGUGGUGUAGCGGUGAAAUGCAUAGAUAUCACGCAGAACUCCGAUUGCGAAGGCAGCAUACCGGCGCCCGACUGACGCUGAGGCACGAAAGCGUGGGUAUCGAACAGGAUUAGAUACCCGUGUAGUC